UAAGGUGUGGUUAUGCUUUGGAGAAAAAAAAAACUCCGAACUGUGGACGAAGCACUGGAGAAAUUUGGUUGGAUGAAGUGAGAUGUUCGGGUAAUGAGAAGUAUCUCUGGACAUGUCCUUCGGCGCUGUGGGGCGAUCAUGACUGCAGCCAUAAAGAAGAUGUGACAGUGGAGUGUUCCGAACACAAAGAGAUGCGCCUUGUGAAAGGAAAACACAGCUGCGAAGGGAGAGUGGAAGUGCGGUACCAUGGGAGAUGGGGAACAGUUUGUUCCGAAGAACUGGAUAGUGAAGCUGCGAAUGUGAUCUGCAAGCAAAUGAACUGCGGAACCUUGGAAUCUAUCGACUAUUACUCCCAGAAAUACGAAAAAGGAUCUGAUCCAAUAUGGCUGGAUGGAAUAAAAUGUCUCUCGUACGAGUCGACUCUUUGGCAGUGUCAUGCAAAACCUUGGGGGAAACACGACUGUCAAUAUAACUCACAUGCAGGUGUUGAAUGUAAAGAGGCCAAAAAACCGGACCGGUCCAGUGUAAAGGUUUGCGAAGCACGCAAUAUAUCUCAACCUGUUUAUGCAGCAG